rnacentral:rRNA from 1 species
GAUGAACGCUAGCUACAGGCUUAACACAUGCAAGUCGAGGGGCAGCAUGACCUAGCAAUAGGUUGAUGGCGACCGGCGCACGGGUGAGUAACACGUAUCCAACCUACCGGUUAUUCCGGGAUAGCCUUUCGAAAGAAAGAUUAAUACCGGAUAGUAUAACGAGAAGGCAUCUUCUUGUUAUUAAAGAAUUUCGAUAACCGAUGGGGAUGCGUUCCAUUAGUUUGUUGGCGGGGUAACGGCCCACCAAGACAUCGAUGGAUAGGGGUUCUGAGAGGAAGGUCCCCCACAUUGGAACUGAGACACGGUCCAAACUCCUACGGGAGGCAGCAGUGAGGAAUAUUGGUCAAUGGACGAGAGUCUGAACCAGCCAAGUAGCGUGAAGGAUGACUGCCCUAUGGGUUGUAAACUUCUUUUAUAUGGGAAUAAAGUGAGCCACGUGUGGC